UACGUAGGGUGCAAGCGUUGUCCGGAAUUAUUGGGCGUAAAGAGCUCGUAGGCGGUCAGUCGCGUCUGCUGUGAAAACUCGGGGCUUAACUCCGGGCCUGCAGUGGUACGGACUGACUAGAGUGCGGUAGGGGAGACUGGAAUUCCUGGUGUAGCGGUGAAAUGCGCAGAUAUCAGGAGGAACACCGGUGGCGAAGGCGGGUCUCUGGGCCGUAACUGACGCUGAGGAGCGAAAGCGUGGGGAGCGAACAGG
rnacentral:rRNA from 1 species